rnacentral:lncRNA from 1 species
UUUGACGAAAAGAUAACCACGUUGUUCCAGUACGUGAGGUCUGCAGCCUCUACGUUAGAAGGACACACAUGUCAACUAAGCCAACCUCGGCGUGAGCUAUGGUAUGAACUGGUAUGAACUUUGAGCUUAUUCACUACAGAAGUGCUACUUCCUAGCCGUUGAGUUAGCAGCGGCCGCUGUAGACGUGGGCUAGGAAAGGACGGACGACGGAUCCAGUCUAACAGACGGACGAAGAUACCACCACGCAUCCAAUUUACCACCAGAGACAUUCUUCCGAGUACAGGAAGAUCUGUUGGCCAACCCGGCCAGCAUCUACGACCAAUCUACCGAAGCGCAGCUCAGAGUAAAUAUUUAUUGCAUUUUCCUUUUCCAAAUGGGCGGUAAUUUAGAAUGCAUAAGAUAAUGUAUUUACGAUAGCAUAGCUGCUGUUUCUUUGUUCCUAAAUCUUCCCGCUCUUUCAUUCAAGCCCAACCCCCUUUCCUUUGUGUAACCAGCUUUCAUACAGGUUCCGUUUUUGUAUGACAUCAUAUGUAUUCGGUGUAUUUGUAAUUCUGUGUGAUAGGUUUAGGUAUUUAGUAAAUAAAUAAUUAAACCCUAUUUUGUAUUGCUGAUUCAACUUGUUAGCCAGGGUUCGUGAAGAUAGCCAAGAAUUUACAACUUUCAUUAUGAGACUGAAAAUAAGAUAAGGGUUAAUAUUGACUGCUAUCGAUGUAAAAUAUUACUAAGUAUUUUAAGAGUUUAUUCGGAAGAUAACGGCUCUAUAAACGUUCUUCCGUGGUGCCCCGACUUUCUAGUUAAUUACAUUUACAUGAUUAGCUUAAUCAGGUAAUAUUAAUUAGAGAAAGAAUUUUAUAGGUUAGCAUGUCAUAUCACUUAAUCCGGCAUAGCCAAAGACACGACAUAUGGCGCCCCGUGUGAGGACUCUAAAACUAAGACGCACGUUGGGUCAAUUUGAUAAUAUCACAUAUGACGCCCCGUGCGAGGAAUCUAAAAUAGGAUGACGCUUUCAUUUUGAUUCAGCCUAUAUAAAAUUGAAAAGCAGAUUACAUAAUAUACCAAGUUUAUUAUAUACAUUAUGGGAAUUGUAGACCGGAAUUAUUGGUGCGUGUGUGCUCUGGAGAAUCGCCUCCGUGUUGUGCUCUGAGUUACUGCCCAGAUAUUCCAGUCUGAACGACCAGACGACGGGUCCGGAACGGCGAUCCCAAUCCGGACAUCCGCUGCCGAGCCAUGGAACGGACUUCUUCAUUUGCAGAGACCCUACCCGGGUCGACCACCAGAGGGGGGACUGCAAUAGCAACCACCAACUGGACAUCUGCUGCCCAGCCUUGGAGCGGAUUUCUUCAUUUGCAGACACCCUACCCGGGUCGACCGCCAGAUGGGGACCACAACGAUGAUCCACAACCAGG